GCCAGGAUGUUGGCUUAGAAGCAGCCAUCAUUUAAAGAAAGCGUAAUAGCUCACUGGUCGAGUCGGCCUGCGCGGAAGAUGUAACGGGGCUAAGUAGUAAACCGAAGCUGCGGCAAUAUACUUUUGUAUAUUGGGUAGGGGAGCGUUCUGUAAGCGGUUGAAGGUGUGUGGUAACGCAUGCUGGACGUAUCAGAAGUGCGAAUGCUGACAUGAGUAACGAUAAAGGGGGUGAAAAACCUCCUCGCCGGAAGACCAAGGGUUCCUGUCCAACGUUAAUCGGGGCAGGGUAAGUCGACCCCUAAGGCGAGGCCGAAAGGCGUAGUCGAUGGGAAACGGGUUAAUAUUCCCGUACUUCUUACAAUUGCGAUGGGGGGACGGAGAAGGCUAGGUGGGCCUGGCGACGGUUGUCCAGGUUCAAGUGCGUAGGCU
rnacentral:rRNA from 1 species